CCUACGGGUGGCAGCAGUGAGGAAUAUUGGUCAAUGGCCGGAAGGCUGAACCAGCCAUGCCGCGUGAAGGUCAGUUCCCUUUGGGCGUUAAACUUCUUUUGUGCGGGAGCAAUAAUGGUCACGUGUGGCCAGACGAGAGUACCGUACGAAUAAGCAUCGGCUAACUCCGUGCCAGCAGCUGCGGUAAUACGGGGGAUGCAAGCGUUAUCCGGAUUUAUUGGGUUUAAAGGGUGCGUAGGAUGGGAGGUAAGUCAGCGGUGAAAUGCCCCCGCUCAACGGGGUGAAGUGCCAUUGAUACUGCCUGGCUGGAAUGCGGAUGAGGUGGGAGGAAUGUGUGGUGUAGCGGUGAAAUGCAUAGAUAUCACACAGAACACCGAUUGCGAAGGCAUCUCACGAAUCCGCGAUUGACGCUGAUGCACGAAAGCGUGGGUAUCAAACAGGAUUAGAUACCCUGGUAGUC
rnacentral:rRNA from 1 species